rnacentral:rRNA from 1 species
UACAGAGGGUGCAAGCGUUGUUCGGAAUUAUUGGGCGUAAAGGGUGCGUAGGCGGUGCGGUAAGUCUGUAGUGAAAUCUCUGGGCUCAACUCAGAGUCUGCUAUAGAAACUGCCGUGCUUGAGUGUGGGAGAGGUGAGUGGAAUUCCCGGUGUAGAGGUGAAAUUCGUAGAUAUCGGGAGGAACACCGGUGGCGAAGGCGGCGAUCUGGGUAGAUACUGACGCUGAGGUGCGAAAGCGUGGGGAGCAAACAGG